rnacentral:rRNA from 1 species
UACGUAGGGUGCGAGCGUUGUCCGGAAUUAUUGGGCGUAAAGAGCUCGUAGGCGGUGUGUCGCGUCGGUCGUGAAAACUUUCAGCUUAACUGGGAGCUUGCGGUCGAUACGGGCAUCACUGGAGUUCGGCAGGGGAGACUGGAAUUCCUGGUGUAGCGGUGAAAUGCGCAGAUAUCAGGAGGAACACCGGUGGCGAAGGCGGGUCUCUGGGCCGAUACUGACGCUGAGGAGCGAAAGCGUGGGGAGCGAACAGG